rnacentral:rRNA from 1 species
UACGUAGGGGGCAAGCGUUGUCCGGAAUCAUUGGGCGUAAAGAGCGUGUAGGCGGCCCGGUAAGUCCGCUGUGAAAGUCCAGGGCUCAACCCUGGGAUGCCGGUGGAUACUGUCGGGCUCGAGUCCGGAAGAGGAGUGUGGAAUUCCUGGUGUAGCGGUGAAAUGCGCAGAUAUCAGGAGGAACACCGAUGGCGAAGGCAGAUCUCUGGGCCGUAACUGACGCUGAGGAGCGAAAGCAUGGGUAGCGAACAGG